UACGUAGGGUGCGAGCGUUAAUCGGAAUUACUGGGCGUAAAGCGCACGUAGGCGGAUUUGCCAGUCAGGGGUGAAAUCCCGGGGCUCAACCUCGGAACUGCCUUUGAUACAGCAAGUCUUGAGUUCGAGAGAGGUGGGUGGAAUUCCUAGUGUAGAGGUGAAAUUCGUAGAUAUUAGGAAGAACACCGGUGGCGAAGGCGGCCCACUGGCUCGACACUGACGCUGAGGCGCGAAAGCGUGGGGGAGCAAACAGG
rnacentral:rRNA from 1 species